rnacentral:tRNA from 1 species
GGGAAUGUAGUGUAGAUAGUCUGCACGACUCGCUGAAGACGAGAAGGUGCUGGUGCGAUUCCAGCCGUUCCCA